rnacentral:tRNA from 1 species
UAGAUGGAAGCCUGUUGGUUUAGGCGCCUAGCUGUUAACUAGGAUAUUGUGGGAUCAAAGCCCACCUGUCUAG